rnacentral:misc_RNA from 1 species
UCACUACUUGCGUAGGCAGUCUCCUUAGAGUGCCCAACAUUACUUGCUGGCAACUAAGGACGAGGGUUGCGCUCGUUGCGGGACUUAACCCAACACCUCACGGCACGAGCUGACGACAGCCAUGCAGCACCUGUACAAAUUCCCCUUGCGGGACCCCGGAUUUCGCCGGGAUUAAUUUGCGUUUCAAGCCUAGGUAAGGUUCUUCGCGUUGCAUCGAAUUAAACCACAUGCUCCACUGCUUGUGCGGGCCCCCGUCAAUUCCUUUGAGUUUCAACCUUGCGAUCGUACUUCCCAGGUGGAGAACUUAAUGCGUUAGCUAAGUCACUGACCCUUAAAAGGGCCAACAACUAGUUCUCAUCGUUUAGGGUGUGGACUAC